rnacentral:rRNA from 1 species
UACGUAGGGGGCAAGCGUUGUCCGGAUUUAUUGGGCGUAAAGAGCGUGUAGGCGGCCAUACAGGUCCGUUGUGAAAACUGGAGGCUUAACCUCCAGACGUCGAUGGAAACCGUAUGGCUAGAGUCCGGAAGAGGAGAGUGGAAUUCCUGGUGUAGCGGUGAAAUGCGCAGAUAUCAGGAGGAACACCAAUAGCGAAGGCAGCUCGCUGGGACGGUACUGACGCUAAGGCGCAAAAGCGUGGGGAGCGAACAGG